GUUUUUGUAGUUGAUUU
rnacentral:tRNA from 4 species